rnacentral:lncRNA from 1 species
UCUAAUAUUUAAGUCUUUAAUCCAUCUUGAAUUAAUAUUUGUAUAAGGUGUAAGGAAGGGAUCCAGUUUCAGCUUUCUACAUAUGGCUAGCCAGUUUUCCCAGCAUCAUUUGUUAAAUAGGGAAUCCUUUCCCCAUUUCUUGUUUUUGUCAGGUUUGUCAAAGAUCAGAUGGUUGUAGAUGUGUGGUAUUAUUUCUGAGGGCUAUGUUCUGUUCCAUUGGUCUAUAUCUCUCUUUUGGUACCAGUACCAUGCUGUUUUGAUUACUGUAGCCUUGUAGUAUAGUUUGAAGUCAGGUAGCGUGAUGCUUCCAGCUUUGUUCUUUUGGCUUAGGAUUGACUUGGCGAUGCGGGCUCUUUUUUGGUUCCAUAUGAACUUUAAAGUAGUUUUUUCCAAUUCUGUGAAGAAAGUCAUUGGUAGCUUGAUGGGGAUGGCAUUUAAUCUAUAAAUUACCUUGGGCAGUAUGGCCAUUUUCACAAUAUUGAUUCUUCCUAUCCAUGAGUAUGGAGUGUUCUUCCAUUUGUUUGUGUCCUUUUUUAUUUCAUUGAGCAGUGGUUUGUAGUUCUCCUUGAAGGGGUCCUUCUCAUCCCUUGUAAGUUGGAUUCCUAGGUAUUUUAUUCUCUUUGAAGCAAUUAUGAAUGGGAGUUCACUCAUGAUUUGGCUCUCUGUUAGUCUGUUAUUGGUGUAUAAGAAUGCUUGUGAUUUUUGCACAUUGAUUUUGUAUCCUGAGACUUUUCUGAAAUGGCUUAUCAGCUUAAGGAGAUUUUGGGCUGAGACGAUGGGGUUUUCUAGAUAUACAAUCAUGUCAUCUGCAAACAGGGACAAUUUGACUUCCUCUGUAAAGGACCCAUCUUUAAACAUCCACGGAAGGCAGGUGUGAUUUUUCUUUAUGGUCUGAAUAGAAUAUUAACUAUAUAUAAAGUAAUAUAUAUUAAUUUACAUAUUUUUGUAAUCUGCUAAUCUUUGAAUUCAGCAUCCUUUUCCAAGGCUUUUCCUUCCACUUUCUUCUGGAAAGUUGGCAAUAAUAUUCUUCAUUUUUAUUUCACUUUCUUCCGGAGAGAGAGAAUAGUAGCAAACAAAUACUAGGCCUGGAAUGUUAGAUCCUUGCUUAGCAAUGGUCGUUGGCCCAGGAUCGUGCUGCAGUGUGUAAGGGGUACUGGCAUCGGAAUAUUAGAUCUUUGCUUGGCAACGAUCAUUGGUCCAGGAGAGUGCUGGGGUGUGUAAGGGGUACUGGCAUUGGAACUAUCUCAUGUGUUUUAGAAAUGUGUCCUUUGGGAUGGUGGGAGCCAAUUCCAUCAUUAACCUGGCUACCAGGCCCCAGCUCAGCCCAUGCCUUUUCAGAGCACUGCCUUUCCUUGGGCAUUAGCAGACCAGUAGAAAUAGAAACACACGUAGUAAGGAACACGGCUGUAGGCAGCAACAGAGACGUCAUGGAAGAUGCAGACGGAGGCUGUGGGACCCACAUACUCUGCACCCUCAGCCGAGCCUGUUUCUGAAAACAAACAUGAUCUACUUCCUUCAAGCCGGAAUCCAGGUGUGUCAUUAAUUUUCUGUUAAACAAAGAGAAUGGUGGCUUUUUUGAGUGGAGCACACCUGUCCCCACUUGUGGAGUUGCAGAAUGUGGGCACUGCCAGGAUUCCCUCUCAGCUCUCACCUCUGUAGAAAUCACGGCACAAUACAAACAAUGGAAAGCUCCUCUAUUAAAAUGUCUGGGUGCCACCGCGAGGCUUGCAGCAGAACAAUUUUGGCCUCUCUCCAGAGGCAGGUGUGACCGGAGCCAACCUGUCUGGAGUGACUUUUUUACUAUGAAACUAUCAGCAGCAUGGACGAGUGAAACAAUGUUGCAUUAUUUGGAGCCCCUGGGAAUGUGCACACCCCUUAUAAAUGGACUGUGUUUACGCUCCUGUCCCUUCACAGCUGGGAUUAAAAAUUGCCAGAGUUCAAAUAUUUAAUGUUCUUUCCUGUUUUCUAUCCCUGGAAUGUCUCAGUGUCGUCUGACUUGUUGCCAACACGUACACCAGAUUUUUCCUCCCUUGCCCAGGUUAUCACAUGUAUGAGAAGCUGGACGGUCAGUUCUUGUCACCUUUGGUGAUGUCUUAGCCUGAAAAUCAGCCGGUGCCCUCCUCAAGUUUGGAGGCAGCCUCCUAGGGCUAUUCUGUUCUGUGUUAUUUUUCUUUCCAGGUUGCAACAAGAUAUUUAAUUUUGAUCAUGAGAAUAAUUUUAUAUUGCAUUUCACAAUAUGUUAUUUCAUUUCCUCAGUGAUUUUGGAAUGUUAGUGGUCACAAAAGGAUGUAGGUAAGAGAAGUGGGAAAGGGGCAAGUUAUGAAUUACUCUAUAGAAUGUUAUGUACUGCAAAGAUGACAAGUUCUAUCUUUCUUUCUUGCUCAAGACCCCUGUCAGAUCAGACUGCUUGGCAAGAGGAAGAAUUUGAGUGAGAAAGUGGCACUUCCAGAUAUUUAGCAGACCAGGCUGAGUCCUGAUGUCUAAACACAGGCUGCAAGUGGCGUUGCACAGUCGGGGCGCAGCUAUAGUUGCUAUGGUAGUGGCUGGGGCCACUGGUCCAAGGAACAGAUGAAAUCUCUAACUGGGGUGAGCUGUAGGGAGCUUCUAGGAUCACACAGGGACAAAGGAACAAUGGCAGUGUCUUAGUCUGCUUGGGGGGCAAUCACAAGAUGCUAUAGACUGGGAUGCUUAAACAACAGACAUUUAUGGCUCUCACAGUCCUAGAGGCCAGGAUAUCCAGCAUCAAGGUGCCAGCAGAUUUGGUUCCUGAUGAAUGCCCUUUUUCUGACUGGUGGCUGACUUGGUGGCUGACUUCUCACUGUGUGCUCACAGUGGAGAGAGCAGGAGCUCUGACCCCUCUUCCUCUUCUUAUAAGGAUACCCGCCAAUCCCAUCACAGAGCCACACCCUCAGGACUUCAUCUAAACCUAAUUGCCCCCCAAAGGCUUCAUCUCCAAAUACCAUCAUAUUGCGGAUUAGAGCUUCAACAUAUGAAUUUUGAGGGGGAGACAAAUAUUCAGUCCAUAUCAGUCAUGAAGCAUUAGACACACAGAGCAGUUACACACUCCACUGACCAUGGGAGCUCUGAGAGCUAGGGUCACAUACUUGGCGGCUGACCAACUUCACCCCUACUUUCCCGAUCCAGUGCUAGCCAAUUCCCCAAAUCAGCCAGGAGUGUGUCUGCUGCAUCUCUGGACUCUCACAGUUGCUACAGUCCCAGUUCAGCCCCCCAAGAUCACCCUGCAAAAGGACUCCCCAGGGUAAGAACCAGUCUUCCUGGAGGUACCAACAGGCAGAGAAAGAGAAACCUCCUCAACCUUCUCAUUCUUAUUUAUUUUCCAACCACAUUUAUUUCCAUGGAACAGCAAUAGGUCAGUGACAGAAGCCACAGUCUG